UAUCCCCGGAUCCCCCCAAAGCUCCGGAUCCCAAACCCAAAGUACCCCACAGCCCUGGAUCCCAAACCCAGAUCCCCCCACAGCCCUAGAUCCCAGCCCUGGAUCCCCCCAUAGCUCCAGAUCCCAGCCCCAGAUCCCCCCACAACCCCCAAUCCCAGCCCCAGGUCCCCCCAAAGCCCCAGAUCCCAGCCCCAGAUCCCCCUACAGCCCCCACUUCCAGCCCCAAAUCCCCCCAUAGCUUCAGAUCCCAACCCCAGAUCCCCCCACAACCCCCAAUCCCAGCCCCAGAUUCCCCCAAAGCUCCAGAUCCCAGCCCCACCCCCCCCUGACCCCCGUGGGCCCCAGUCUGGAACCUCAGACCAUACAGGGACCCCCAGGGACCCCCGGGGACCCCAUACACGGACCCCCAAGCCCUCCCCGGGCCCCCAGACCCGCCGUACCGCAGCCCCCAGGCCCCCCUGCCCCUUACCGGCCGCGGGCGCCUCCCCUCCGCCCGCCCCCUCCUCCCGGCCCUGCCCCGGGGCCGCCCCCCGGGCCCCUCACUGCGCAUGCGCGGGGCGGGGAGCGGGGGGCGUGGAGCGGCGGCGGGGAGGGGGGAAAGGCUUCCGCGCACGUGACCGGGCCCCGCUCCUCCGCCCGCGGAUUGGAGGGGAGGGGGGUCACGUGGGAGGGAGGGGGCGGGGCCACAGCGCCACGCCGGGUGGGAGGGGGGAGGAGAGUGAGGAGCUGUGCGCAUGCGCAGAGGGAGGCGGCGCAGGUAGGGGCGGGGGGGGCCCAAACAGGGAGCCCCCCACAGCCCGGAUCCCAAACCCAGAUCCCAAACCCAGCCCCAGAUCCCAGCCCCGGAUCCCCCCCACAGCCCCAGAUCCCAGCCCCAAAUCCCCCCCCAGCCCCCGAUCCUAUCCCCGGAUCCCCCCAAAGCUCCGGAUCCCAAACCCAAAGUACCCCACAGCCCUGGAUCCCAAACCCAGAUCCCCCCACAGCCCUAGAUCCCAGCCCUGGAUCCCCCCAUAGCUCCAGAUCCCAGCCCCAGAUCCCCCCACAACCCCCAAUCCCAGCCCCAGGUCCCCCCAAAGCCCCAGAUCCCAGCCCCAGAUCCCCCUACAGCCCCCACUUCCAGCCCCAAAUCCCCCCAUAGCUUCAGAUCCCAACCCCAGAUCCCCCCACAACCCCCAAUCCCAGCCCCAGAUUCCCCCAA
rnacentral:lncRNA from 1 species